GUUUUACAGUACCAGAUUUUAAACUAAAAUAUAAAGCAUUUCUCCCUUAUUAACCAUCUCUUUAAUUAUUCAUUCUAGAAUUUCCCUAGGAAGUGAAUUCAGCCUUAUUGGCUCUAGUUUGCAGACUCUGUUCUCUUCCAUUUUUAUUUUUAACUUAUCACAGUGAAUAGAGCACUGAACCUGUAGUCAAGAAGACUUGAGUUCAAAUCAUUUCUCAGACACUAAUUAGCUCUCUUAACCUGGACAAGUACUUAACUUCUGUCUCAGUUUCCUCAACUAUAAAACUUCCCAGGGUUAUUUAGCUAUUAUUAUUAUUUGAAAGUCAAGAUUUUUCCCCUUCUCCAGUCCUUUUCCAAAGUCUUGAUUUUUCAAAGAUCAUAAGCAACAGCUCAGCUAUUAUAUCCAUCAGUUCAAUGGAUGUAGUUCGGCCAUGCCUGGUACCUUGAAAUCAUCAACUAAUCAAUAAAUCAAGAGUUUCCAUGGGCCUUAGGAAAGUGCUAAGUACUAAGGAUAGAGAUAUAAAAUGAGAUCUUUUUUUUCUAUUGUAAAAAUGGACUUGAAUCCAGGACUUCAAUCCCCAGAAGUCCUUGCUCCACUUCCCCAGAAUGCUUUGUAAUCUCAUUGAAUUCUCACCUGAGCCGAGAGCAAAAUCAUUAUUUAAAGGGUCUCUGCCCCGGCAGGCUCUCUUUUCUUCCUGGCUCCGCUGGCAAACAGACGCUUCUCAUGAUAUGAGGAUAAGGCCUCUGAAACAGCUUAUGUGACUUGGAAUUGAGCAGGUUUUCUAAUGGAGUCACACAGCCCAGACUCAAAAGGGCUCACCAAAGGGAAUAGGCCUCAAGGGCAGAGUCCUUCUCUGUGUGGAAAGGCAGCAGGUUUCCAGCUUCUUCAUGACCUUUGGAUAAGCCAUGCUGUUGGUUCUUUGAAGAUUGGCAUGGCAUGAAGCCAUAAAACAUGACUAGAAGAAUAUUGGUAUUUAAAAGUGGGCAUUUACUUCAUUGAGAAGUUUAGAAACAUUAAAGAAACUUUGCAGUUUUCCAAAGGCAGUCCAGCUAGUUCUCCUCUUGUUCAGUUCUGGCCUGUGCUUGUUGUCCUUUU
rnacentral:lncRNA from 1 species